rnacentral:rRNA from 1 species
AUUGAACGCUGGCGGCAUGCCUUACACAUGCAAGUCGAACGGCAGCAUGGAAGAGCUUGCUCUUCUGAUGGCGAGUGGCGAACGGGUGAGUAAAGCAUCGGAACGUACCGUGUAGUGGGGGAUAACGUAGCGAAAGUUACGCUAAUACCGCAUACGCACUGAGGUGGAAAGCAGGGGAUCGCAAGACCUUGCGCUAUACGAGCGGCCGAUGUCAGAUUAGCUAGUUGGUGGGUAAAGGCCUACCAAGGCGACGAUCUGUAGCGGGUCUGAGAGGAUGAUCCGCCACACUGGGACUGAGACACGGCCCAGACUCCUACGGGAGGCAGCAGUGGGGAAUUUUGGACAAUGGGCGAAAGCCUGAUCCAGCCAUGCCGCGUGAGUGAAGAAGGCCUCGGUUGUAAAGCUCUUCGCUGGAGAAUCGCACAGGCUAAUACUCUGUGUGGA